AGAGUUUGAUCAUGGCUCAGGACGAACGCUGGCGGCGUGCUUAACACAUGCAAGUCGAACGGAAAGGCCCUGCUUGCAGGGUACUCGAGUGGCGAACGGGUGAGUAACACGUGGGUGAUCUGCCCUGCACUUCGGGAUAAGCCUGGGAAACUGGGUCUAAUACCGGAUAGGACCAUCGUUUAGUGUCGGUGGUGGAAAGUUUUUCGGUGUGGGAUGAGCUCGCGGCCUAUCAGCUUGUUGGUGGGGUAAUGGCCUACCAAGGCGUCGACGGGUAGCCGGCCUGAGAGGGUGGACGGCCACAUUGGGACUGAGACACGGCCCAGACUCCUACGGGAGGCAGCA
rnacentral:rRNA from 1 species